rnacentral:rRNA from 1 species
CAGUAGCCGCGGUAAUACGUAGGGGGCAAGCGUUAUCCGGAAUUACUGGGUGUAAAGCGUGCGCAGGCGGUUAUAUAAGUCAGAUGUGAAAUCCCCGGGCUCAACCUGGGAACUGCAUUUGAGACUGUAUGGCUAGAGUGUGUCAGAGGGGGGUAGAAUUCCACGUGUAGCAGUGAAAUGCGUAGAUAUGUGGAGGAAUACCGAUGGCGAAGGCAGCCCCCUGGGAUAACACUGACGCUCAUGCACGAAAGCGUGGGGAGCAAACAGGAUUAGAGACCCCCGUAGUCCCUGUCUCUUAUAC